rnacentral:piRNA from 1 species
CCGUCUUUGUCAUGGCGCGUGUCCACUC